UCUUUUUCAAGAUCUUUAAUUUAUAUCUAAAAAUUCAUAAAAUUUAACGAAUAGUAUUUAUAUAAUUUUUUAUAUUAAAAAAAUUAAAAAAUAUAUUAUAUUUUAAAAAUUAUAUAUCAGUUUUAUCUAAAGACAUGCUAAAUGACUUAUUUGUUUGUUAUAUAUGAUUUAGUCGUAUAAUAUAUAUUAAUAAAAAUUAUGUUUU
rnacentral:lncRNA from 1 species